UCAGGAUGAACGCUAGCGGCAGGCCUAACACAUGCAAGUCGCGGGGCAGCACGGGUAGCAAUACCUGGUGGCGACCGGCGCACGGGUGCGUAACGCGUAUGCAACCUGCCCCCAGUCAGGGGAGUAGCCCGCCGAAAGGCGGAUUAACUGCCCCAUAGGCCCAGGGCGCCGCAUGGCGCUAUGGGUAAAGCUCCGGCGGAUGGGGAUGGGCAUGCGUGCCAUUAGCUAGUUGGGGCGGUAACGGCGCACCAAGGCGACGAUGGCUAGGGGGUCUGAGAGGAUGGUCCCCCACACUGGUACUGAGACACGGACCAGACUCCUACGGGAGGCAGCAGUGAGGAAUAUUGGUCAAUGGGCGGAAGCCUGAACCAGCCAUGCCGCGUGCAGGAAUGACGGCCCUACGGGUUGUAAACUGCUUUUACAUAAGACUAACCGUAUAUUUGCGAAUAUACCUGAAUGUAUUAUGAGAAUAAGGAUCGGCUAACUCCGUGCCAGCAGCCGC
rnacentral:rRNA from 1 species